rnacentral:rRNA from 1 species
UAGUCCACGCCGUAAACGAUGGUUACUAGCUGUUUGGACUAAUUGAGGUCUAAGUGGCCAAGCGAAAGUGAUAAGUAACCCACCUGGGGAGUACGUUCGCAAGAAUGAAACUCAAAGGAAUUGACGGGGGCCCGCACAAGCGGUGGAGCAUGUUGUUUAAUUCGACGCAACGCGAAGAACCUUACCUACACUUGACAUACUCGUCGGGACUUUCAGAGAUGAUUGUCUUCGGUUCGGCCGGACGAUGUACAGGUGCUGCACGGCUGUCGUCAGCUCGUGUCGUGAGAUGUUUGGUUAAGUCCAGCAACGAGCGCAACCCCUAUUGUUAGUUGCCAGCAUUAAGUUGGGGACUCUAGCAAGACUGCCGGCGUAAGCCGCGAGGAAGGUGGGGACGACGUCAAAUCAUCAUGGCCUUUAUGCCUAGGGCUACACACGUGCUACAAUGGUGCAUACAGAGGGUAGCGAAGCAGCGAUGCGGAGCCAAUCUCAGAAAGUGCAUCCC